AAUAGAUACCCAGGUAGUCCUAGCCGUAAACGAUACUCGCUAGGUGUCGGCCACGGUGCGACCGUUGUCGGUGCCGUAGGGAAGCCGUGAAGCGAGCCACCUGGGAAGUACGGCCGCAAGGCUGAAACUUAAAGGAAUUGGCGGGGGAGCACCACAACGGGUGGAGCUUGCGGUUUAAUUGGAUUCAACGCCGGAAAUCUUACCGGGACCGACAGCAACAUGAAGGCCAGGCUGAAGACUUUGCCGGAUUAGCUGAGAGGUGGUGCAUGGCCGUCGUCAGUUCGUACUGUGAAGCAUCCUGUUAAGUCAGGCAACGAGCGAGACCCACGCCCACAGUUGCCAGCGUACUCUCCGGAGUGACGGGUACACUGUGGGGACCGCCGCUGCUAAAGCGGAGGAAGGAAUGGGCAACGGUAGGUCAGUAUGCCCCGAAUAUCCCGGGCUACACGCGAGCUACAAUGGUUAGUACAAUGGGUAUCUACCCCGAAAGGGGAUGGAAAUCUCCUAAAGCCAAUCUUAGUUCGGAUUGAGGGCUGCAACUCGCCCUCA
rnacentral:rRNA from 1 species